AUUAGAGGAAGGAAAAAUAAAGA
rnacentral:sRNA from 1 species